ACUUCCGGGGCGGCGGUUGCAUCAGAUUCUAGGAAGUGUCUGUAGCCGCAGCUGCGGGUCCGGGAUUCCCAGCCAUGGCAGAUUCCUCCGGGCAGCAGGUCUCCAGGUGAAGAGGCGACUUGCACUUCCUGGUGCUGCCCCUGGACCCUGAUCCUGCUCUCUCUGCCUCCCAGGCAAAGGCCGGCGUGUGCAACCCCAGUGGUCCCCUCCUGCUGGGACCCAGCCAUGCAGACUCCACCUUUACAACAGCCUCACCAGGAACAAGGAAGUGUUCAUACCUCAAGAUGGGAAAAAGGUGACGUGGUAUUGCUGUGGGCCAACCGUCUAUGACGCAUCUCACAUGGGGCACGCCAGGUCCUACAUCUCUUUUGAUAUCUUGAGAAGAGUGUUGAAGGAUUACUUCAAAUUUGAUGUCUUUUAUUGCAUGAACAUUACGGAUAUUGAUGACAAGAUCAUCAAGAGGGCCCGGCAGAACCACCUGUUCGAGCAGUAUCGGGAGAAGAGGCCUGAAGCGGCACAGCUCUUGGAGGAUGUUCAGGCCGCCCUGAAG
rnacentral:sRNA from 1 species